rnacentral:lncRNA from 1 species
AUCUUUAUUGAGGACGUGAGCGUUGCUCCUGGUGCUGAACAGAGCGCGAAGCUCUCCCUGCGUAACUCCUGGCACGCGCCGGUCUCGCCAGGCCAAUGGGUGGACCUGGCGCAACAGACGUCACGAGAGGAGCGGAGGCGAGGGGUGAACGCGGAGCACUCCAAUCGCUCCCAACUAGAGGUCCACCCAGGACCCAGAGACCUGGAUUUGAGGCUGCUGGGCGGCAGAUGGAGCGAUCAGAAGACCAGGAGACGGGAGCUGGAGUGCAGUGGCUGUUCACAAGCGUGAAAGCAAAGAUUAAAAAAUUUGUUUUUAUAUUAAAAAAGUUUUUAGAGAUGGGGGUCUCACUUUGUGGCCCAGCCUGCAGUGCA